AAGUCGUAACAAGGUUUUGCUAAGCAACAGUCCUUCUGUAGCAGAGCUUAACGGAGACCUUGCACCCGAGAGGGGGGGAGGCGACUAUAAACAAGCUCCAGCGCAAGUCAGCACCGCUGGCAACACAAUCGAAUUGCGGGGACGCUUUAAAGCCUACCAGUACCAACUACCCCUCACCGGGUAGGGGCGAGCACGCUCGAGGUCACAAUCUGGUAGGAUGCCACAAUAAGCAAUCCGCAGCGGCUCAGCCGUCCACAGACUAAGUGGUUGUGGGUAGGAGAACCCUAUCUAAGAUAUAGUCGGGCCUGAAGAGAGAUCUCCAGGGGCUUCUGCGUCCGUAGGUGAACCUGCGGAAGGAUCAUUAAUAAGGAUGCUGGAAGGGGGUGAGCUCACGCCUCCCCUAGACGGUAUACCCCACCCGUGUCUAUCUACUCUUGUUGCUUUGGCAGGCCGUGGCCUCCACUGUGGGCUCUGCCUGCAUGUGCCUGCCAGAGGAUUAAACUCUGAAUUUUAGUGAUGUCUGAGAACUAUCUAAUAGUUAAAA
rnacentral:misc_RNA from 1 species